rnacentral:rRNA from 1 species
GACGAACGCUGGCGGCGUGCUUAACACAUGCAAGUCGAACGGAAAGGCCCUGCUUUUGUGGGGUGCUCUAGUGGCGAACGGGUGAGUAACACGUGAGUAACCUGCCCUUGACUUUGGGAUAACUUCAGGAAACUGGGGCUAAUCCCGGCUAGGAGCUCCUGCUGCAUGGUGGGGGUUGGAAAGUUUCGGCGGUUGGGGAUGGACUCGCGGCUUAUCAGCUUGUUGGUGGGGUAGUGGCUUACCAAGGCUUUGACGGGUAGCCGGCCUGGGAGGGUGACCGGCCACAUUACGACUGAGCUACGGCCCAGACUCCUACGGGAGGCAACGGUGGGGAAUAUUACACAGGGGGCGGGAGCCUGGUGCGACCCCGCCGCGCGCGGGAUGACGGCCUUCGGGUUGUAAACCGCUGUCGCCUGUGACGAAGCGUGAGUGACGGUACCGGGUGAAGAAGCACCGGCUAACUACGUG